GGGCGUUUUUUUCACCCCAAAUGUGCGACUCAUAAUCGCCCGGUCGCUGGUUCAAAUCCAGCAGGGGCCACCA
rnacentral:tRNA from 1 species